rnacentral:rRNA from 1 species
AUUGAACGCUGGCGGCAGGCUUAACACAUGCAAGUCGAGCGGGGUGAUGGUGCUUGCACUAUCACUUAGCGGCGGACGGGUGAGUAAUGCUUAGGAAUCUGCCUAUUAGUGGGGGACAACAUCUCGAAAGGGAUGCUAAUACCGCAUACGUCCUACGGGAGAAAGCAGGGGAUCACUUGUGACCUUGCGCUAAUAGAUGAGCCUAAGUCGGAUUAGCUAGUUGGUGGGGUAAAGGCCUACCAAGGCGACGACCUGUAGCGGGUCUGAGAGGAUUGUCGGCAACACUGGGACUUGGACACGGCCCAGACUCCUACGGGAGGCAGCAGUGGGGAAUAUUGGACAAUGGGGGGAACCCUGAUCCAGCCAUGCCGCGUGUGUGAAGAAGGCCUUAUGGUUGUAAAGCACUUUAAGCGAGGAGGAGGCUCUUUUGGUUAAUACCCAAGAUGAGUGGACGUUACUCGCAGAAUAAGCACCGGCUAACUCUGUGCCAGCCGCCGCCGUAA